rnacentral:rRNA from 1 species
AGAAUCAACGCUGGCGGCGUGCCUAACACAUGCAAGUCGCACGAGAAAGGGACUUCGGUCCUGAGUACAGUGGCGCACGGGUGAGUAACACGUGAAUCAUCUACCUUCGAGUGGGGAAUAACUGAGAGAAAUCUUAGCUAAUACCGCAUAAUACCUACGGGUCAAAGCAGCAAUGCGCUUGAAGAGGAGUUCGCGGCAGAUUAGUUAGUUGGCGGGGUAAUGGCCCACCAAGACGAUGAUCUGUAUCCGGCCUGAGAGGGCGCACGGACACACUGGAACUGAAACACGGUCCAGACUCCUACGGGAGGCAGCAGUGGGGAAUUUUGCGCAAUGGGGGAAACCCUGACGCAGCAACGCCGCGUGGAGGAUGAAAUCCCUUGGGAUGUAAACUCCUUUCGAUCGGGAAGAUAUGACGGUACCGAGAGAAGAAGCCCGGCUAACUUCGUGCCAGCAGCCGC